UACGUAGGGGGCAAGCGUUGUCCGGAUUUAUUGGGCGUAAAGAGCGUGUAGGCGGCCAUACAGGUCCGUUGUGAAAACUGGAGGCUUAACCUCCAGACGUCGAUGGAAACCGUAUGGCUAGAGUCCGGAAGAGGAGAGUGGAAUUCCUGGUGUAGCGGUGAAAUGCGCAGAUAUCAGGAAGAACACCCGUGGCGAAGGCAGGUCUCUGGGCCACUACUGACGCUGAGAAGCGAAAGCAUGGGGAGCGAACAGG
rnacentral:rRNA from 1 species